UCCCUGUAGCGCAAUCUAUAGCUCGUUGAACUUCUAAUCCAAAGGUCGUGGGUUCGAAUUCCACUUGGGGAG
rnacentral:tRNA from 1 species